rnacentral:lncRNA from 1 species
UGCGCAGCAGCAGCAAAGGACGAAGAGGUAUGCCGGCCUUCCAGUCACUUUACUCUCCUUGAUGAUUUAGUCAGUAAUCACUUAACCUUGUUUCACUCUCAAGCCUCUAAACCAAUCAAGUCUACAACCACCAAAGUUGCCCAGAUCGGGAGAGAAAGUCACCCACCACCUAAGAAAGAGAAGUUGCAAUUGUUCAUGAGUUCUUGAAUCUGAAAUUUGAGAAGACCAAGUUCGACUUCGUAAACUGAAUUUCGUUUUCCCCCAAUUUCGAUUUCAAAACCCUAACCUGGUUUGGAUUUGGAAAUUUGAUUGGGUUAUGUAGUUCUAGAUUUUGUGGUUUUUUUUAAUAAGUGGUUUUUUCUUUUCUGGGUUAUGUAGUUUUGCAAGAUGGUGUGGUGAUUCUCAGCACAAUCCCUUCUU